rnacentral:pre_miRNA from 1 species
UUUUGAUUGUAGCUCAGAAAGCCGGAACCAUGAACAGGCUAUCGAGUCGCAAUCAAAGAC